rnacentral:rRNA from 1 species
UGGGUAGUCCGCACGAGCGCACCUUACUUUUAGUUGCUACCAUUUAGUUGGGCACUCUAAAAGAACUGCCAGUGAUAAGCUGGAGGAAGGUGGGGAUGACGUCAAGUCCUCAUGGCCCUUAUGUGUUGGGCUACACACGUGCUACAAUGGUACUUACAGUGAGAAGCUAAGAGGCGACUCCAAGCUAAUCCCAAAAAAGUGCCUCAGUUCGGAUUGUACUCUGCAACUCGAGUACAUGAAGCUGGAAUUACUAGUAAUCGCGGAUCAGCGCGCCGCGGUGAAUACGUUCCCGGGUCUUGUACACACCGCCCGUCACACCAUGGAAGUUGGUUACACCUUAAGGCAAGGAUUAAAAUCUUUGACUACGGUACGAUCAGCGACUGGGGUGAAGUCGUAACAAGGUAGCCGUGGGGGAACCUGCGGCUGGAUCACCUCCUUUCU